GCGGGUAUCGUAUAGCGGCUAUUAUGUCACCUUGCCAUGGUGAAGAUGCGGGUUCGACUCCCGCUACCCGCUCCA
rnacentral:tRNA from 1 species